UACGUAGGGUGCAAGCGUUAAUCGGAAUUACUGGGCGUAAAGCGUGCGCAGGCGGCUUUGCAAGACAGAUGUGAAAUCCCCGGGCUCAACCUGGGAACUGCAUUUGUGACUGCAUGGGCUGGAGUGCGGCAGAGGGGGAUGGAAUUCCGCGUGUAGCAGUGAAAUGCGUAGAUAUGCGGAGGAACACCGAUGGCGAAGGCAUCCCCUGGGCCUGCACUGACGCUCAUGCACGAAAGCGUGGGGAGCAAACAGG
rnacentral:rRNA from 1 species